UUCCUUGAUAAAUGUAUUUUUAUGGAAGCAUCUCUGUCCAUAAUACGCCACAUUCUGGUACUAAGUGAACCCAAUGGGAGUUUUGGGAGGCUUUUCCGAUGGAAGGACCAGGAUCGGCCGACAAGGAUCAUUUACAAGUUCUCAGUUUGUAUCUUGAGGUAUGUCAUAAAGUUCAGUAUUCUAAUGUUGAUUCUGCUCCUGAGGAAUCCAGUUGUUCACCACCUUUAACUCUUCUGUUGAAAUGAAAUGUUCAUUCAGUCAAUUUUACGAAUAUUAUGGACAAAUCACCAAUAGUUACAGACAUCGUUGUUUCUUACCAGUAUUCCACUUUUGCCGUUAGAGUUGAGUCAAUCAGUAAAGCUUUUGUUAUGAGAACCGAAGACCAUGUGGGUUGGACAACUUGAGAGAAGGCUGGGAUCAUCCCCUGAGCUUCAUCUUUGCCAGAGCUCUGUAUGAAAGGGACAGAGAUCUUGUGACUUCAGCCUUGAUCAGGCUACCCAAGGAUCACGUCACUGCUGGAAAGGGGAAUUUUCUUCUGCGCAGUAAUUUGUAACAUUAAGCUACUUCUGAAAUGAGAGAGAAUAUCUUUGGUGUCUGAUUGUCACAAGCAAGUCGGUACAAGUAAUAUGUCAGAGUUUGAUCUUGUUCGGCUGUCCUGAAGCAAGCUUACACCUCAGUUCUCAAAUGUUUGUGUACUUGUAAAAAAAUUGGCGAUAGCUAUUGCUUGUAGCAUAAUUUCUUGCUAGGUUACAUCCAUUAACUAUUUACUCUGGUCCAAUAUGAUAGUGAAUCUUUGUCUAUAUUCUAAACCAAGAAGGAAGAUGUUUGUUUUGGUCUUAUUCGAAGAGAGAAGAGUCUAGUUUAUAAAUAAGAGGAUUCUCGAAGCAACUAAAAUUUGGGUCCAUUGCUGC